GACAGGUGUUGAGAUCUGAACUCUGGUGAUUGUUGAGUGCUGGUGAAAACUGGUUGAACUUCUAAAGUGAAAGUGAAAGUGUUUCCACGCAGACUCCAUUUUGUGAAGAAAGCACAUGAGCUGUUUGUGAAUAAUGUGAAUCCGUUUGAGAACAGAUCAGUUUAAUGCUGUUAUCUAGAGACUGAAUGGAUUUAUGAACUGAAUAAAGUUUGUGUUUGAUGUUCUUCAUUGUUGAGACAGAGCACUGCCUGUAAAAUGAGUCUCUGUGAGAAGAGAGAUGAGGAGAAUGAUGUUCAGACACAGAAAGCAGCAUCUCCAGAACCCAGCUGUGUGUCUAUGAAAAGCGACGCAUCCAUGAGAAUCCCUCCUGAUCUCAGUGAUGGAGCAGUGACCUCUGACCCUGAAACUGCCUGCAAAAGGAGUGUCUGUGAGAGGAAAGAGGAAGAGGAUGAUGUUCAGACACGUAAAGCAGCACCUCCAGAACCCAGCUGUGUGUCUAUGAAGAGUGACGCAUCCAUGAGAAUCCCUCCUCUUCUCAGUGAUGGAGCAGUGACCUCUGACCCUGAAGUGAAAAGACGCAACGUAAUCAGAUCAGUGACGCCCCGUCUGACCUGCACUGACUCUGACUGUCAAACCCUCAUCAAGAAGCAUGACACAGAAACCCUGCAGAGAGUCAAAGACCAACACAAAAUUAGCAUGAAGAACAAGUACGAGAGCUUAUUUGAGGGAAUCAAACUAGCAGAGAAUCAAACCCUCCUGAACAGGAUCUACACACAGCUCUACAUCAUAGAGGGAGAGAGUGAAGGGGUGAAUGAAGAACAUGAGGUUUUACAGAUGGAGAAAUCAGCCAGAACACAAGACACUCCAAUCUACUGCAAUGACAUCUUUAAACCUUUACAUCAACCAGGACUUGAGAAGAAAGACAAAAUCAAGACUGUUCUUACUAAAGGCAUCGCUGGAAUAGGAAAAACCGUCUCUGUGCAGAAGUUCAUUCUGGACUGGGCCGAGGGAAAAGCCAAUCAGGAUGUGGAUUUCAUGUUUGUGCUUCCAUUUCGAGAGCUGAACUUGAUUAAAGAUCACCAGUACAGUCUUCACAGACUUCUGCUGGACUUUCAUCCUGAACUUCAAGAUCUGGACUCAACGAUUUAUGAGGAGUGUAAAGCUGUGUUCAUCUUUGAUGGUCUAGAUGAGAGCAGAAUCACACUGAUGUUUUCAGACAGACAGAAAGUUUGUGGUGUGAAUGAGUCUUCAUCAGUUUGUGAUGUGAAUGAGUCUUCAUCAGUGGGUGUGUUGAUGUCAAACCUCAUCAGAGGAGAGCUGCUUCCCUCUGCUCUCAUCUGGAUCACCUCCAGACCAGCAGCAGCCAAUCAGAUCCCCUCAAAAUACAUCCACCGUGUGACAGAAAUUCAGGGAUUCAGUGAGCCUCAGAAGGAGGAAUAUUUCAGGAAGAGAAUCAGUGGCGAGCUUCAAGCCAGCAGAAUCAUCUCGCAAAUUAGAAGAUCAAGAAGCCUCCACAUCAUGUGUCACAUACCCGUCUUCUGCUGGAUCUCAGCCACUGUGCUUCAAAACCUCCUGAAACAAAAUGACAGUCCAGAAAUCCCUCAAACUCUGACUGAAAUGUACAUCCACUUCCUGCUGACUCAGAUCAACAUGAGGAAUCAGAAGUAUGAUGAGAGAGAUCCAGAGAAACUCCUGAAAUCCAACAGAGACGUGAUUCUGAAACUUGCUGAACUGGCUUUCAAACAGCUGAUGAAGGGCAAUGUGAUGUUCUAUGAGGAGGACCUGAUUGAGAGCGGCAUAGACAUCACUGACGCCUCAGUGUAUUCUGGGGUUUGCACUGAGAUCUUUAAGGAGGAAUCUGUGAUUCAUCAGAGGAAAGUCUACUGCUUCAUUCAUCUGAGCUUUCAGGAGUUUCUAGCUGCUUUAUAUCUGUUUUACUGCCAUGUAGUCAAGAAUGAGGAAUCACUGAAGUUGUUUAUGAAUGAAAGAUAUAACAGUUACAGUCGGGAAAACUCUCUGUAUGAUCUACUAACAUCAGCAGUUGAUAAAUCCUUACAGAGUAAAAAUGGACACCUGGAUCUUUUCCUGCGGUUCCUGCUGGGCAUCUCACUGGAGUCCAAUCAGAGACUCUUACAGGAUUUACUGACACACACAGAGAACAGCUCAGAACCCAUCAGAGAAAUCACACAGUACACUAAAGACCAAAUCCAGGGUGAUUAUGAAUGUCUCUCAGCUGAGAGAAGCAUCAAUCUGUUCCUCUGUCUGCUGGAAAUGAAGGAUCAGACUCUGUACAGAGAGAUUCAGGGGUUUGUGAAAUCAGAGAAUCACUCAGUGAAUCGACUCUCUCCGUCUCAAUGCUCAACAAUCGCCUACAUGUUUCAGAUAUCAGAGGAGGUGCUGGAUGAGUUUGAUCUGAAGAAAUACAACACAUCAGAUGAGGGUAGAAGGAGACUGAUACCAGCUGUGCUGAACUGCAGAAAAGCUAUACUCGCUGACUGUAAUCUCACUGAUCAGUGCUGUGAAAGGUUGUCUUCAUGUCUACAAUCAUCAAACUCUCUGAGAGAGCUGGACCUGAGUAACAAUAACCUGCAGGAUUCAGGAGUGAAGCUUCUCGCUGAUGGACUGAAGAAUUUACACUGUCAACUCAACAUACUGAGAUUAUCUGGCUGUAUGGUGACAGAGGAAGGCUGUUGUUAUCUGGCUUCAGCUCUGAGAUCAAACCCCUCACACCUGAGAGAGCUGGAUCUGAGCUACAAUCACCCAGGACAAUCAUUAGUCAAGCUUCUUUCUGAUCCAAACUACAGACUGGACAAACUCAAUGUGGAUCAUGGAAGAGAGAUCAGAAUUACAGCAGGGCCACAGAAAUAUGCAUGUGAUCUCACAGUGGAUUUAAACUCAGUAAAGACUAGUCUUGUUCUGCCUGAGAGGAACAGAAAGGUGAAGUGUGUGAGAGAGAAUCAGCCGUAUCCUGAUCAUCCAGAGAGAUCUGAUAUCUGUUAUCAGAUUCUGUGUAGAGAGAGUCUGACUGGACGCUGUUACUGGGAGGCUGAAUGGAGCGGGUGGGUUAGUAUAUCAGUGACGUAUAAAGGAAUCAGCAGGAAAAGAUUGAGCAAUGGCAAUGUGUUUGGAUCCAAUGAAAAGUCCUGGUGUCUGUUCUGUUCUAAAAACAGUUUCACUGUCAAGCACAAUAAUAAGAGCACAGAAAUAUCUGCUCCUUCACGUCGCUCUAAGAGAGUAGGAGUGUUUCUGAACUGGUCGGUCGGCACUCUGUCCUUCUACAGCGUCUCUGACACACACAAACUCACACACUUACACACAUUUAACAGCACAUUCACUGAACCCCUCUAUGCUGGAUUUGGUUUUUUUUAUUCUGAUGCUUCAGUGUCUUUGUGUGAGAUUAAACAUCUUCCUGUGAGAAACAACUGAGACACACAGAUGAGUGAAAGAAACACACUCACAUUAUCUCUCUCUUUAACUCACACAGCUGUAAACUCUUUCUCUCUUCUCAUCUUAAUUUCAGUGUGUAUAUAGAAACACACACGUUGACUUCAGUCUAAAUGAGACACACCACAGACUUCUAUUGUGUUUCUAUAAAGACAUUUGAAUGCGGAUCAACAGGAGUUUUGUCUUUCUGAGUCUCUGAGCGCCACCUGGAGGAAGAUUGAGUUUCUCGCUCACAGGAAACAGUUCUUAGUGUUUGCUCUGUUACUAUGGUAACUGAGGGUCAUGUCAGAGGUCAUCUUCUAAACACACUUCAUUACAAAUGUUAAAGGCUGUGGAGCUCAUCUUACUAUAUACAAGCAAUCAAUUGUAAUUUUCAACUAAUAAUCAAAAGUCUGUUUUCUAACAAUGUUUUUUUUUUCAAAUGUCCUUGAUAUUUCAUGUGUUUAGCACUCAACAUUGGUCAACACUAUUAUAAAUAUAUUGUUAUAAAAUAUAUAUUCAGAUUGUAAAUAUAUGAACAGAACUGUGAAGAAAAAAAAAAUUGUUUCUGUAAUGCUGUAUUUAAUAAAGACUUGUUUAUGUUUGAAA